GUUCGCACACCCAACAUAAUUUCUUCCUCGAACUAAGUUCCACGUGAUCCAUCAUCACAAUCCACGGGUCGCUGAUAUCCAUUGUGUGUCAUGCACAUCAUUUGAGUAUUUAUGGCAAUUGAAAUUUGCAACUAGUUCUUCUUGUGGUGUGCAUCUCCAAGUUUGUAAAGGUUUAGCAAACCGAUCAAGCCCCUACACCUCAUCACUCGCUGCAUUCUCAUACUCAUCUCAUUUAGUCUAGCACUGAUAUCAGUUGUUGGGCUCAACAAUCCCAAAGACACGUUUACAUGGUGUGAUAUAGUCAGUUUUGGAUCAAGUACGUACGGUUUUUUCCAAAAGGUCUCACCAUUAAGAAAUUCUACACCUUAUAUGUAGCUUCUCAGUCUUUUCAGCUAUCAAUAUACGACUUUUGUUCUGAGACCCAACAAUAUCCAAUCUAUUUAGCUCAGGUGAAUCCCUCCAGAAAGAAACUAUUUUGGAAGUGGCCAUUGACUCCAUUGAUG
rnacentral:lncRNA from 1 species